UCGACCUUAGCUCAGAAGGCAGAGCAGAGGACUUCUCCUCUUGGUUGCUGGUUCGAAUCCAGCAGGUCGUAA